rnacentral:misc_RNA from 1 species
UUUCCGUAGGUGAACCUGCGGAAGGAUCAUUAUUGAAUAAACCUGAUGUGGCUGUUAGCUGGCUUUUCGAAGCAUGUGCUCGUCCGUCAUCUUUGCCUCUCCACCUGUGCACAUUUUGUAGUCUUGGAUACCUCUCGAGGCAACUCGGAUUUUAGGAUCGCUGUGCUGUACAAGUCGGCUUUCCUUUCAUUUCCAAGACUAUGUUUUUAUAUACACCAAAGUAUGUUUAAAGAAUGUCAUCAAUAGAAACUUGUUUCCUAUAUAAUUAUACAACUUUCAGCAACGGAUCUCUUGGCUCUC